rnacentral:rRNA from 1 species
GACGAACGCUGGCGGCGUGCUUAACACAUGCAAGUCGAACGGGAACCUUUAUUUCGGUAAAGGUGAGAGUGGCAAACGGGUGAGUAACACGUAGGCAACCUGCCGACAGGAUGGGGACAACAUUCCGAAAGGAAUGCUAAUACCGAAUGGAGUCCGAGGAUGGCAUCAUCCACGGAUCAAAGAUGGCCUCUGAAUAUGCUAUCGCCUGUCGAUGGGCCUGCGUCUGAUUAGCCAGUUGGCGGGGUAACGGCCCACCAAAGCGACGAUCAGUAGCCGGUCUGAGAGGAUGAACGGCCACAUUGGGACUGAGACACGGCCCAGACUCCUACGGGAGGCAGCAGUGGGGAAUCUUCCACAAUGGGCGAAAGCCUGAUGGAGCAACGCCGCGUGAGUGAAGAAGGUCUUCGGAUCGUAAAGCUCUGUUGCACGGGACGAAAACCGGGUUGAGAAUAUGAACCCGGGGACGGUACC